rnacentral:rRNA from 1 species
GGGUUGUGAGGUUAAGCGACUAAGCGUACACGGUGGAUGCCCUGGCAGUCAGAGGCGAUGAAGGACGUGCUAAUCUGCGAAAAGCGCCGGCGAGGUGAUAUGAACCUUUGACCCGGCGAUGUCCGAAUGGGGAAACCCAGUGCAAUCCGUUGCACUAUCGUUAACUGAAUACAUAGGUUAACGAGGCGAACCGGGGGAACUGAAACAUCUAAGUACCCCGAGGAAAAGAAAUCAACCGAGAUUCCCCCAGUAGCGGCGAGCGAACGGGGAGCAGCCCGGAGUCUGAAUCAGCUUGUGUGUUAGUGGAACGGUCUGGAAAGUCCGACGAUACAGGGUGAUAGCCCCGUACACGAAAGCACACAUGCUGUGAACUCGAAGAGUAGGGCGGGACACGUGGUAUCCUGUCUGAAUAUGGGGGGACCAUCCUCCAAGGCUAAAUACUCCUGACUGACCGAUAGUGAACCAGUACCGUGAGGGAAAGGCGAAAAGAACCCCGGCGAGGGGAGUGAAAAAGAACCUGAAACCGUGUACGUACAAGCAGUGGGAGCCUCUUUAUGGGGUGACUGCGUACCUUUUGUAUAAUGGGUCAGCGACUUAUAUUCUGUAGCAAGGUUAACCGUAUAGGGGAGCCGAAGGGAAACCGAGUCUUAACUGGGCGUUAAGUUGCAGGGUAUAGACCCGAAACCCGGUGAUCUAGCCAUGGGCAGGUUGAAGGUUGGGUAACACUAACUGGAGGACCGAACCGACUAAUGUUGAAAAAUUAGCGGAUGACCUGUGGCUGGGGGUGAAAGGCCAAUCAAACCGGGAGAUAGCUGGUUCUCCCCGAAAGCUAUUUAGGUAGCGCCUCGUGAACUCAUCUUCGGGGGUAGAGCACUGUUUCGGCUAGGGGGCCAUCCCGGCUUACCAACCCGAUGCAAACUACGAAUACCGAAGAAUGUUAUCACGGGAGACACACGGCGGGUGCUAACGUCCGUCGUGAAGAGGGAAACAACCCAGACCGCCAGCUAAGGUCCCAAAGUCAUGGUUAAGUGGGAAACGAUGUGGGAAGGCACAGACAGCCAGGAUGUUGGCUUAGAAGCAGCCAUCAUUUAAAGAAAGCGUAAUAGCUCACUGGUCGAGUCGGCCUGCGCGGAAGAUGUAACGGGGCUAAACCAUGCACCGAAGCUGCGGCAGCGACACUAUGUGUUGUUGGGUAGGGGAGCGUUCUGUAAGCCGUUGAAGGUGUGCUGUGAGGCAUGCUGGAGGUAUCAGAAGUGCGAAUGCUGACAUAAGUAACGAUAAAGCGGGUGAAAAGCCCGCUCGCCGGAAGACCAAGGGUUCCUGUCCAACGUUAAUCGGGGCAGGGUGAGUCGACCCCUAAGGCGAGGCCGAAAGGCGUAGUCGAUGGGAAACAGGUUAAUAUUCCUGUACUUGGUGUUACUGCGAAGGGGGGACGGAGAAGGCUAUGUCAGCCGGGCGACGGUUGUCCCGGUUUAAGCAUGUAGGCGGAGGUUCCAGGUAAAUCCGGUACCUUGUUAACGCUGAGGUGUGAUGACGAGGCACUACGGUGCUGAAGUGAUAAAUGCCCUGCUUCCAGGAAAAGCCUCUAAGCAUCAGGUAACACGAAAUCGUACCCCAAACCGACACAGGUGGUCAGGUAGAGAAUACCAAGGCGCUUGAGAGAACUCGGGUGAAGGAACUAGGCAAAAUGGUGCCGUAACUUCGGGAGAAGGCACGCUGAUAUGUAGGUGAAGCCCCUGCGGGCGGAGCUGAAAUCAGUCGAAGAUACCAGCUGGCUGCAACUGUUUAUUAAAAACACAGCACUGUGCAAACACGAAAGUGGACGUAUACGGUGUGACGCCUGCCCGGUGCCGGAAGGUUAAUUGAUGGGGUUAGCGGCAACGCGAAGCUCUUGAUCGAAGCCCCGGUAAACGGCGGCCGUAACUAUAACGGUCCUAAGGUAGCGAAAUUCCUUGUCGGGUAAGUUCCGACCUGCACGAAUGGCGUAAUGAUGGCCAGGCUGUCUCCACCCGAGACUCAGUGAAAUUGAACUCGCUGUGAAGAUGCAGUGUACCCGCGGCAAGACGGAAAGACCCCGUGAACCUUUACUAUAGCUUGACACUGAACACUGGUCCUUGAUGUGUAGGAUAGGUGGGAGGCUUUGAAGCGUGGACGCCAGUCUGCGUGGAGCCAACCUUGAAAUACCACCCUUUAAUGGCUGGUGUUCUAACGUAGACCCGUAAUCCGGGUUGCGGACAGUGUCUGGUGGGUAGUUUGACUGGGGCGGUCUCCUCCCAAAGAGUAACGGAGGAGCACGAAGGUUGGCUAAUCCUGGUCGGACAUCAGGAGGUUAGUGCAAUGGCAUAAGCCAGCUUGACUGCGAGCGUGACGGCGCGAGCAGGUGCGAAAGCAGGUCAUAGUGAUCCGGUGGUUCUGAAUGGAAGGGCCAUCGCUCAACGGAUAAAAGGUACUCCGGGGAUAACAGGCUGAUACCGCCCAAGAGUUCAUAUCGACGGCGGUGUUUGGCACCUCGAUGUCGGCUCAUCACAUCCUGGGGCUGAAGUAGGUCCCAAGGGUAUGGCUGUUCGCCAUUUAAAGUGGUACGCGAGCUGGGUUUAGAACGUCGUGAGACAGUUCGGUCCCUAUCUGCCGUGGGCGCUGGAGAAUUGAGGGGGGCUGCUCCUAGUACGAGAGGACCGGAGUGGACGCAUCACUGGUGUUCGGGUUGUCAUGCCAAUGGCACUGCCCGGUAGCUAAAUGCGGAAGAGAUAAGUGCUGAAAGCAUCUAAGCACGAAACUUGCCCCGAGAUGAGUUCUCCCUGAGACCUUGAGUCUCCUGAAGGAACGUUGAAGACUACGACGUUGAUAGGUCGGGUGUGUAAGCGCAGCGAUGCGUUGAGCUAACCGAUACUAAUGAACCGUGAGGCUUAACCUUACAACGCCGAAGCUGUU